ensembl:snoRNA U3 Small nucleolar RNA U3
GAGACUAUACUUUCAGGGAUCAUUUCUAUAGGUUUUGUCUUGAGAAAUGUGUUUCUAGAGUGUAUGGUCUCGCUAACCACGAUGAUGAGUUGUGGUAUUCUCUUUUGAGCAUGAAGUUGAUGACAAAAGUGUUGUGCUGUUUCAUCAUUGAUGACUGCUUAUUGCUCUACUGUGGAGCAGUAAGAGAGAGAAUAUGAUCAGAGUGGU